AGCAGCCGCGGUAAUUCCAGCUCCAAUAGCGUAUAUUAAAGUUGUUGCAGUUAAAAAGCUCGUAGUUGAAUUUCGGGAUCAAUUAGUCGGUCGUGCCUCUGGUACGUACUGGUUUUAUUGGUUCCUCCCUUCUGACGAAACAUGAUGUCAUUAAUUUGGUGUCGUGGAGAAUCAGGACUGUUACCUUGAAAAAAUUAGAGUGUUUAUAGCAGGCUAACGCUUGAAUACAUUAGCAUGGAAUAAUGAAAUAGGACGUUCGACCCUAUUUUGUUGGUUUCUAGGAUCGACGUAAUGAUUAAUAGGGAUAGUUGGGGGCAUUAGUAUUCAAUUGUCAGAGGUGAAAUUCUUGGAUUUAUUGAAGACUAACUACUGCGAAAGCAUUUGCCAAGGAUGUUUUCAUUAAUCAAGAACGAAAGUUAGGGGAUCGAAGACGAUCAGAUACCGUCGUAGUCUUAACCAUAAACU
rnacentral:misc_RNA from 1 species